rnacentral:rRNA from 1 species
GUGGGGAAUCUUGCGCAAUGGGCGAAAGCCUGAUCCAGCCAUGCCGCGUGUGUGAAGAAGGUCUUCGGAUUGUAAAGCACUUUAAGUUGGGAGGAAGGGCAUUAACCUAAUACGUUAGUGUUUUGACGUUACCGACAGAAUAAGCACCGGCUAACUUCGUGCCAGCAGCCGCGGUAAUACGAAGGGUGCAAGCGUUAAUCGGAAUUACUGGGCGUAAAGCGCGCGUAGGUGGUUCGUUAAGUUGGAUGUGAAAGCCCCGGGCUCAACCUGGGAACUGCAUCCAAAACUGGCGAGCUAGAGUACGGUAGAGGGUGGUGGAAUUUCCUGUGUAGCGGUGAAAUGCGUAGAUAUAGGAAGGAACACCAGUGGCGAAGGCGACCACCUGGACUGAUACUGACACUGAGGUGCGAAAGCGUGGGGAGCAAACAGGAUUAGAAACCCCGGUAGUCC